CUUCAAAUCAUGGCAUUUUCUAAGUACUUAGAAACCCAGAGUCCAGCAAACCCAAUCCUUUAUUUUAUAAAUAAGAAAAUGGAAGAAAGCUCAAGACAGGAAGUUACACAGUUAAUGCUAAAGGUCUGACAAUAAUCCAGAAAAGGGAAACUCUAACUCCUCGUCCCACUUAAAUGAACCUGUGCCCUGACCCCUCAAAGCCGUGGGUUUUCAUUUCAACACCUAUUGCACCAACAAUAAAUGAAUCAUCCAGUAAAAACUCCCCUAAUUUUCCCAAUCUCUAACCCAACAUGGUGGAGCCAAAAGAAUACAGCCUUGGUGCCAGAAAGACCUGGAUCCAAUCUCAGCUCUGUCCUUUACUAUCCACGUGACUGUGGGGAAGUUACUAAACCCAUUUCAGGCUAAAUGUCUUCACCUGUUAAACAGCAACAAUCGACUAGAAAUCCACCCAGGAGGGUUCGUGUGAUGGUGAGGAUACAAUGGCCAGAAGGUAGAUGGUCAAUGAUGGCGGUUAUUUUCACACGCCCCUCUCCGCCUCCUUAAGAUUAUGAAUCUGUGUUCUUCCCUGGGCUCCAAGCCAUCAGCGGACAGUUCUCUCCAGCACCUUAUACUCCUUCUCUGUGGACUGCUUCCCUUCUGGCUUCUCAGCUGCUCAAGAGUCCCCUGGCUUGAAAACGCCCUGGACGGAGAGGUUGCAGCAGAGUGGUUCCACCUGGGGAGCAGGGCGACAGUGAUGUUGACGUCCUUGUCCAGGGACACUGUGAGAGCCACUGCUCCAGAGCCUUGCAACUCAAGGUAUGGGCUGUGAACCAGCUGCUUCAUUCUCAUCGGGGAGUUGCCACAGAUGCAGAACAGAGUCCCCAUCCCAGACCUACUGACCUAGAGUCUGCACCGAACAAGACCAAUGCAAUGCCUGCGCACAUUCAAGUUUGAGAAGCACUGCUCUAGUCAACGGUUCUCAAUCCUGAAUAAACGUUAAAGUCACUGGGAAGUUUUUUUAAAAUACUAAUUCCUGGACCCCACCCCUGAGACUCUGAUUUAGUUGGACCGGAGUGGGGCCUCAAAGAUCAGUAUUUCUAAAUACAGCGGAAUCUUGUUAAAGCACAGACUUGGGUUGAGUAGGUCCGAGCUGGGGCUAAGGGUCUGCAUUUCUAAGAUCUCUCAGGUGAUGCUGCUGUCAUGGUCUGGGGAUCACACAUUAUGUGGCCAUCCAUUCUAGAAAGGGCCCUUAAUGCCCUCCUAGUCCCCAGAUUCAACCAUCUUUUUUCAAUCCUCAUCCAUCUUCAUCUCCCUACAGCUGUUAUCCAUUCUUCCUGCUUUGCAACACUGGUUCUCAGCCUUGACUGCAAAUCGCUAUCACCUGGCGAGCUUUACAGACUGCUGAUUCUCGGGCCCCAUGCCCAGGGAUGCGGAGGAAAUCAGUACGGGUGCAGCCCGGGAAGCCGAACGCCUGCAUCUCCACAGAUGACUCUAAUGAGAGCAAAGUUUAAGAAGCACUGAUUUAAAACCACUGCUUGCCACAUUCCUGAGAUACCUCACUCUUCUAUAUUUUCUCCUACUUCUUGAUCACUUCUUGGCAUCCGUCGCUUACUACUUUUUCUAUCACUCUGCUGGUUUUAUCCAUCACUACUACAAACAUGACUCUUGUAUCUGUAUCUGAAAGCUUGACAUCUAACUAAGCUCCCCACCCGGCCUCUGUUGACUUCCAGGUUUGGAUUAACGUGUCUGCUGCAUGGCUUUUCAAGCCCAUUUCCACUCACAGCUGCUUCCUGGCUUCCUGGGCUUUCACAGCUACUACAAUAGCCUCCAAAAUGUCUCUGCUUCUCACCUCUUUCCCCGACUCAGUUUACACACCUUGACAGUGGAGCCAAUUCCUUACUCCCACUCCACGGCGUCUAUUAACAUGUCACUGAA
ensembl:lncRNA